AGAAAACAAAAGAGAGCAAGAGAGAAGACAGUGGGUGAAGUCCUGGUUCCAGACUCCCCUUUUUGCCGGGAUAUGAUGGAUCUGUCAGCUGGUGCCUAGAGUCCUAGAGAGCUAGAGAUGGAGGGAAAUUCAGAUCAUCUAAACCCUUCAGCCCUUCACUGGACAGAAGAGGAAACUGAGGCUCCAUCUGCAUGACGUUCCCAGAGUCACGGCACAAAUUCAUGGAAGAAGCAGCAGGAAACUCAGUUCUCCAGUCUGGGUCCAAUGUGUGUUUUAGAAAUAUCUCCACAGGGUUAAUGACUCAAUUUUUCAUGCAUGAUUGCUAGUAAUGACAAUCAUGUUAUGUUUGUUUCUGUAGCUUUGGAAAUCACUCCUUCCACUUGAGUUUCAGGUCCCAACUGUCCACACCUGCAGGAGUGAGGUUUUGCUGAGACUGAUAAGGCACUCACAUUUUGUGGGAGUUGAAUUGUCUCUGUAGCCUAGAAUCUAGAUUUUUUUCCCUCCUCUGCUCUCAGUGAACGGAGAAUUCCAUCUCGGUACAAUCUGUGAACCAUUCUGCAGUAAGAUUGUCAUCGUCUCAUUCAUACUACCUGGUCGGUAACACAAAGGGCUGUAAUUGAUGUGGUUCAGAGACUCACAUCCAAGCAAUAAAAAUGAAUCCCUUAUGGUGGUCUGCAGCA
rnacentral:lncRNA from 1 species